ensembl:lncRNA
CCUGGCCCUUCCUCGUUCGUGUCAAGAAAAUGACAUCUAAUUUAAAAAGCAUUCCCAAUGAUUCUGUUAACCCUGACAAGGAGAAAAAAAUCACGGUACAGCGGCAAAUCUGUCCUUUAUUUCCCUGACAGGUAAAUUAAAACAAAUAUCCUUUUGAGAGGAAAACAUAUUAAGUGUAUUUUAAUUUGCUGGACGAAUGUACGCGUACAGUAACGCUCGUAUUGCAACAAACAGUCGUACAUUUUUAUCAUUGCUUUUGCUUUCCUAUUUCUUUAUUAAUUAAUUGAGACGGUUUUCCUGCAGCUUCCUCUUUGAACAGCAACGCGUGCGGCUCCCGGCAGCGCCGGGUUUGGGGCUUUGGCUUUUUUGACGUUGGUGAUUCUGAAACCCAAUUUCUGGCUUUAUAAAAAUGCAUCACUACAGCAACAAAAAAAUUAAUUGCUUUGCAACAACGUGAUUAAAGCCGCGCCGAGGAACCGAGAAUAUAUCCAUGAGAAGCACACUGCAUAGCGUUCAAAUAAAAACGUUGUACUCUGAGAGCGUUUAACACCAGCUUGAAACUUUGCUUUGGUCCAAAUUCAGUCAAACCAAAUACACCGAACUGUUUCCUAAAGGAUUUGUUGUAUUUUUUGUGGCUUUUCUGAUCAGUUCUUUCUAUAAAGAGAAUGUAAAUGAAAGGAAAGAAACUCCACGACUCCCAGCUUAUGGUGCUGCGUAAUAUUUGAUGGGGAAAUUUAGAUAACCUCUGGAUAGUUCUGUAAAACAGUCGUUUAAGGGAGAGCUUUGAAAUGCAAAAUAGGAAAAAGCAAUGCAUUACCACUAAAUAAAUACUGCAGCCGCUAAGCCCGUAACAGCUACGGAAUCAGAACGUAAAAUCUUGUAGCAUAUGUGUUCUUAUGAUUGUAGUAUUUAAUAAGCGCUGACACGACACAGAAGGCCAAUUUUCUGUUUGAAAAAAGAAGCCUGUCCUUCUUAUAGUGAUAUAUAAGAGAUUAAAAUAAUUAGAGAGGAAUAUAAUUCAGGGGGUAAGACUGAAUAAUUUCAUUGUUAAUCUCAACACGAGGAGAAAAGCCAAUUCUCUUAAAAGAAACCUACAGGGUCUAACAGCUAGGCGAGUUUGGGUAUGACAAACAUACAACAGGGUGAUACGUACCCACAUUUUUUUAGCUGUUUUUUGAGUAGAAUGAAUGCACGAGUGAAUGAAAAUUACCCUUCCCACGUGUGAAGCGUUUCAAAAGUUUAAGGGAUCCCUCACGGAAAUGUUACCAUGCAGCACUGCGUGGCACGUCAGCUUCAUUAGCAAAAAUAAAGAGAGGCACGUUAUUGGGUGGAUGGAAGCAUCACAGGAGUCCUCCACGAAUAACAGAAAAAGCAGAGUUUUACAUAAAAUGGGUGCUGUAUUAGAAAGCAUCGACUGACAUCGGAGCUGGAACUGCCGAGUGGGAAAACUCACUUUACAGCUGAUUCUUUACAGCAAAUUUCUCGUCGCCAUUUUUAGUCCAUUUUCAACUUGCGACUCUGUUGGGAAAGCUUUGAUCUUUACCUCUGUACAAAAGGACACACACUACAGUGAGCGGAUGCAACCGAGACCAGGAAAAUUGCAGUAACUCGGAGGUUCUCAAUACAUACAAUAAUACUUCCCCCAUUUAUCUCUUUAAAAUAGAUUGAUGCUCGUCUGCCUUUUGUUUCUGCGGGUUUAAAUCAUUAACGGUCUUCGUGGAAAUACAUCCUAAUCGUGGCUACUCGCUUCAUUUCUGGGAAGGCAGCAGCAAAAUGGUCACUCUACACAAAGCAGAAUGCGACUCCCGCGUGCUGACCUUUGCACGUAGCGUGUUCUGAAUGGCAGCCCGCCUUGGACCCAACAAAUUAUUUCUGCCCGUGUUCAGUUAGGAUGGAUACGGCGUGUCCACAACCCACGGUGAAGCACUAACGCAUCUUUACGUGCUUACUCCUAAAUUAUACCAAGAAAGUAAAGUUUUCUUUUCCCUUCUAUUCUUUAAUAUAAUGGUCACAUCUGUGUUUAACACCUACCCCAAUGCAAGUUGCUGAAUGAUUAGAACCUUCUAACGCUUCAGAUGUGGUGAGUUCGUGCCGGGCAGCUUGCACGUUGCACACGUAACACGGGUACAGGUAGCAGCACCAGGGGUCACGCUGGCGCAUCUCCUGGACACCGCGCCCCUCCACACCUCGUGCUAUUUUCCUUCAUGUGAACGGAAUGCCUAAUUUUGUAAUUCCUCAGAGUGGAAAGGAAGGGGGGGAGAAUUCCACCAACUCUUGUAUUCAUUUUAUUGGUUUUAAUUGCAUUAUCACCUUUGGAGACUUUGGUAAAUUCCACUUAGCUAGCAGCCAUGGGUAGCGGUGGUGGUUUUCAAGUACAGCUCCUGUUACUCAUGUUGGCAUUUAAAUGUUAAUUUCCAACCGAGGUUUACAGUAAACACCAAACAAGGGAUUUUCUUUGAAUGAACCAUCUCAGACCAAAAUUCUAAAGGAAAGGAUCCUACCCGGGAUAUUUUUAAGCGUGGUGAUUAUUUCCUUGUGAAAGACUUAACAUUCCCUAAGUGAUAGAAGCUAAAAGAUUUACAUGUGACAGUUAAUUUAUAAUUCUCUACAUUAAAAAGACAUUUAAACGUUAACCACAUUUUUAUGUGAGUCAAGUCAAAGCAAUGAUAAUUACAGUAUGAUACAAAAGAACCUGAAAUAAACUUCCAGCAAACCAUAUUGAAUAUUAACGUCGUGUUAAGCCCCGAAAAGCUGCGUUAGUAAACUCUGGAAUUUAGAUUAUAUGCAACUUCAACAUAACAUCGGGCUUUUCUUUAAAGCACACGUCACUGCAAAGGUUGGAUCCGGGGGAGGUACGUAUUAAUUGGCUGGAUUUUUAUUAAAUACAUUUACAUAGCAUCAUGCCAAAACCAAGCCUCGGAUUACUCUUUCUGCACAGGCAUACCUCAGCGUGGGAUUUGCCAAAUUAACAUUCCAUAUAAAUUAACAGCCUUUUCUCAUGUUUGUGGUGUUACGAUGAGCAGCGUGAUACUGUAUCGUGUCGCUGCUCACGUGUAUUUGAUUUCAAUUUAGGAAUCGUAUCUCUGCUACCCACCACAUAGGAGAAACGACGUGCUGAAUUUCCCAUCAAAUAUCUUAAAUACAGACCUAUUUUAGGUGGAUUUGUAUAAACAAAACACAUAUCUCAUAUGGGCGUGGGAAAGGAAAAGCUGGUUUGGUAUAUGCUAGAGCAAACUGGAGUAAAUCAACCGCAUCCAUGGGCUGUAGCCCAUGUACCGCUCUGCUUUUCCCAGUACCAUUUGGACACAACAAUGUUACUUUUUUAUUUAAAGUGUUUUCUUCUCAACAAGGGGCCACCACUUCCCAAUCGCAAAAACACGCCCCAGAAUAUGUUAAUUAAUUGUAUUGUGCCUCUGAAAGAAAAGAGGUUGCCAAAUGCAAUAAAAAAAAAAAAAAAAAAGAGAGAGAGAGAGAGAGAGAGAGAGGUCUUUCGAUCAGAGGGCUCCGUUCCCACUGGUUACCAUCUAAUUUCAAUUCCCCACAUACGGACGUGGAAGAAAUAUAUCUGUGUAGAUUGUGACCGUGAGGAACUGCCUGAGAGCCAAAGGCCGGCGCGGCCACGCUGGGAUCUGGGCAGCCUCACGUUGCUGGAGGACGGAGGGCGCGAGCCUCGGCCCGCGGUUUGUCACCCUUACGUGGGCACUGCAGAGUGGGGAACGUGGGGCAUUUUCAUCCCGUGUUGCUUCCCAUUACGUGUAACAACGGGGCUGCUUCCCACCCCCCACAAAAAAAGAAGAAAAUUCCUACGUGCAAUACAUCAACACGUUCCACACAAACACAAAAUAAAGAGCAACAAAGAAGGGCAACGUGCAGUCUCUCCCUCUAUUUUUUUUUUUUUCCAUCUUCCCUUUCCAUCAGACGGCUUUUAAAUAGCGAUAUAUUCUGUUAGCAAAUACGAGAGCAUUAAAUGUCUUUCUGAAUGACGCUUUCUAAAUUUGCAGUUACCUUUUGAAAAUCGCCGAACGGCAAUUAACAGUAAACGCAUCUCCGGAACGCUCAGCGGGAGAGGUAAAACGGAACAAAUAAAAGCUUUUUUUUUUUUUUUUUUCUUCCCCUCGAUUUUAAAGUUAUUGCUUUUAGAUGCUACCGUGGUGGGGUUUUCCUAUUAAAUAUUUCCAGCCUCCUCAACUUCCCAGUAACAGAAAUGCGUUUUCCCACCCGAACUACAGCGGGCUUUGAUUUGGAGGAGUCCCACAAAGGAACGGAGCUCACAAAGAGCGAAAGAGGAGUCCGGAGCUGUUAUCUCACACAAUGCCCGCGAGCAGGCAACUUCCCGGGGGGCGGGGGAGUCACUGCUGAAUUAUUUUCAACGGUGAUAUCCAUUAAUAUCAUCCUUUAACUUCUUUGACUCCCGAGCUGGCAAAAUUUGGUGGUGAUACGUUAAAAAAAAAAUAAGAAAGCUUGACACCGACUCGAAUCCUUCCAAAUGCAUUUCCACUAACUUGCUAAAAACGAUCACCGUUCUCCUAGGAAGGGCUUCCUUACCCAAAUCGCACUCUCUGGAAGCCAUUCCCCCCUCGCUAACAGAAGCCCUUUCCGUGUCGAUGCGAGCCAACGUGCGGGGGCACAUUUCCCCCGCAGCAGAGCGGGGCACUUGUUGGAAACCGCCCCAGCAUCGGGUCGGGCAGCUCUGCUCCACGCGAACACGUGAGAAAGUUCUGGUCGGAACGGCGUAGCAAAACUACUGAAUUCCUAAUUAUUUUUAGGGGGAGAAAAGAAAAGAAAAAAAAAAAAGACAAACGCUUUUCCUAGAAAACAUUUUUUUGUCGCUGUUGUUUUUAAAGCCAACGUACAACAAUCGCUCGAAAAACGAAAAGAGCGAAAAAAAACCAGACUCGUGGUGCUUAUAUGGAACGGGACAAGAUUAAUCUCCAUUUUUAUAAACAGACCAUUACGACGAGUUCCUUCCAAACUUCUCUGGCUACGUUUACGAUUUCAAACGCUGCGGCUCGGAGCGGUUCCUCUCCGUCCCUGCGAGCAGAGCUGCCCACCAUCCGCCCACACACAGAUGUUAUUUACGCACGAGCCCGCCGCCGGAGCGGGGUUUUACCUUUGCAGUAACACUGAGGUACGGCCCCACAGGAGCACGGCGCUCCCGCACCGGAGCUGCCGCGCUGCCGGCCCGAGCUCCGCGGCCG